GGGGCUAUAAGCUCAGUUGGGAGAGCGCUUGCAUGGCAUGCAAGAGGUCAGCGGUUCGAUCCCGCUUAGCUCCACCA
rnacentral:tRNA from 1 species